UACGUAGGUGGCAAGCGUUGUCCGGAUUUAUUGGGCGUAAAGAGCGUGUAGGCGGCCAAGUAGGUCCGGUGUGAAAACUCGAGGCUUAACCUCGAGAUGUCAUCGGAAACCAUUUGGCUAGAGUCCGGAAGAGGAAAGUGGAAUUCCUGGUGUAGCGGUGAAAUGCGCAGAUAUCAGGAAGAACACCAAUGGCGAAAGCAGCUUACUAGGCUGUAACUGACGCUGAGGCACGAAAGUGUGGGGAUCAAACAGG
rnacentral:rRNA from 1 species